rnacentral:rRNA from 1 species
GGAUCCAGACUUUGAUUCUGGCUCAGGAUGAACGCUAGCUACAGGCUUAACACAUGCAAGUCGAGGGGAAACGAUAGAGAAAGCUUGCUUUUUCUAGGUGUCGACCGGCGCACGGGUGAGUAACGCGUAUCCAACCUGCCCAUCACUUGGGGAUAACCUUGCGAAAGUAAGACUAAUACCCAAUGAUAUCUCUAGAAGACAUCUGAAAGAGAUUAAAGAUUCAUCGGUGAUGGAUGGGGAUGCGUCUGAUUAGCUUGUUGGCGGGGUAACGGCCCACCAAGGCGACGAUCAGUAGGGGUUCUGAGAGGAAGGUCCCCCACAUUGGAACUGAGACACGGUCCAAACUCCUACGGGAGGCAGCAGUGAGGAAUAUUGGUCAAUGGACGAGAGUCUGAACCAGCCAAGUAGCGUGCAGGAUGACGGCCCUAUGGGUUGUAAACUGCUUUUAUAAGGGAAUAAAGUGAGCCUCGUGAGGCUUUUUGCA